GAUGAAGAACGCAGCGAAAUGCGAUACGUAAUGUGAAUUGCAGAAUUCAGUGAAUCAUCGAAUCUUUGAACGCAUAUUGCGCUCUCUGGUAUUCCGGAGAGCAUGCUUGUUUGAGUAUCAGUAAACACCUCAACUCCCUUUUCUUUUUUGAAAUUGGAGCUGGACUUGAGUGAUCCCAACGCUUUCUUCCAAGAAAGUGGCGGGUUGCUUGAAAUGCAGGUGCAGCUGAACUUUUCUCUGAGCUAUAAGCAUAUCUAUUUAGUCUGCCUAAAAAACAGAUUAUUACCUUUGCUGCAGCUAACAUAAAGGGGACUAGUUCUUGUGCUGACUGAUGCAGGAUUCACAGAGACAGCUUCGGCUGACUUUGUAAACUCGAUCUCAAAUCAAGUAAGACUACCCGCUGAACUUAAGCAUAUCAAUAAGCGGAGGA
rnacentral:misc_RNA from 1 species